UAUUCUGCCCUACGGGGAAGGAUGAGAAGCUUCGACUAAGGUUCGACUCGAGCGUAGCGAGAG
rnacentral:sRNA from 2 species